rnacentral:rRNA from 1 species
GGGUCAGUAGGUUGGUCGUGCCACCGGUACGUACUGGUCUCACUGAUUCCUCCUUCCUGAAGAACCGUAAUGCCAUUAAUUUGGUGUUGCGGGGAAACAGGACUGUUACUUUGAAAAAUUUAGAGUGUUUAAAGCAAGCUGACGCUUGAAUACAUUAGCAUGGAAUAAUGAAAUAGGACGAUCGAUCCUAUUUUGUUGGUUUCUAGGAUUGACGUA